UUUCUUUCCUCCAAUCCGCUGCCUGGAUACAAAUCCAUGCCUUACCUCAGUGUAGUCAAUUAUCAAAGCUCCCUAAGAUCAUCAAUCAUGGGAAUGCUUGAAGUUUAGAGGAGGAGCAAUGGUCUUGCCAUCGAUUGCUGCAGUUUUGGCCUUUUUCCGUCGCGUUCACGCUCCUUUGCGCACAAAAACCUUAACCAGGCCAUCUAUCCCCUUUAAUAUUUAGCUUCAUCAGAGAUAAUGUACCCUGUUGUGUUGUGCAUAUGACAUCACAGUAUAUUGAUAGGUUUUCACGUACAUUGCUAAAUAUAUUUCUGCAUGGCAUAUUUGAUUUCUAAAAUGAAACAUGCAGUCUAGAUGCUUAAACUGGUCACAUAUGUUUUGGGAAUGGGGAGAGGAGGGGGCUCAAGAGGUCAAUGAACUCCCCCCAAAAGAUAAAUGAUUGAGUACUCGGAAUUGUGGUAGCGAUAGCUAGAGAAAUUAAACUGUUUGAUUAAACCGGGCAUCAUAACAACACAUGUUUGUAGGGGGAAAACAAUCCCUGCAUGAAAAAAGUAACACAGCAGGGAUGACAAAUGGCAGUCAACUUGCUAUGAUAGCCUGUGAAGGAACUCUGCUGCUGACUAACGCAGCAGUGCAGCAUGAAGAGAAAAAAAAACAGCCAUUCAUGAGCACUUUUAGCAAGCUAUUGACGACCAACCAUUCAUUAAGAGACCUCCAGUUUAAAACAUACUCCUGUGCAUAUGUCUUGUAUACUAACGGUUGACUUUUCCGGGAUUAGAAUGAUGCUGCUGUCACAGAGGAGAGAAAAAACUUACCGAGGAAAACAAGUUUGUUGGAAAAAAAAGACAGAAGCCUACGACAAAGAGAACAUUAUUACAGAAUCUUGCAUUUCUAUCUGCCUAUUAUCAUUAGUCAUAAGCUAAGCCUCACACUAAAUGUCUAAGGAUCAGAGAUAAUGUUCAUUUUGUCUAGAAGACAGGUUGCCGCCUGUCAUGGGGAGAUAAAUGACAGGUUUCGACUGUGUGCCUUGAAGGCAUAUUAGGCUAAGAAAUCGCCAACAUGAUGAGAAAUUAUUUUGUCAAAAAUGUGUAGGUCACCCAUCACUGUCUAAUGUAUUCUGUGAUUAAUUGCUAGCAUAGAUCAACAUUAUGUCUUUCCACUGAAUCGCUUAAUUGUUGCCUGCUCAUUGCUCUUAAUGUAAUGACAGGGCAUCUGGUCCUUUCAGAUGUGCAUUUAAAUGCCAGCUUUUGCAUCCAGGUUACGGGAACUCUUAACACCAAAGCCUCGGCCCCAGAGAAAAUUAAAAACUUGCACCAUUCUCCUUGUUUGUGUGCGUGCCAGGCUGACUGUUAGUGUUAAUGUAUGUAGAUUUCAUUUCUGAUGAGUGGUUAUUUGACUGCUCAUUUUACGAAGAUUUAUGGUGUGCUUUCUAUCUCCUGACUGCAGUGCUACUCUUAUCUUUAAUAAAAGAGAUGAGGACAUUAAUCAGCCUUUGUCAGAAGCCCUGACUAAGACAUUAAAUGUACUGUAUAGGGUUGGUAAACACGCUCCAGAUCCUUCUCUACUUCAGUAGAUCAAGCAAAAAACCCUCAUUAUAUUUAUCAUAAUUUCACAUCUGCUGUUUUUGAAGCAAUGUACCAUGAGGCCAUAAACUGUAUUACAACUGUGCAUAAAUUCAACUGAUUUGUGGCUGGAGUAACUAAUUCCUAGAGUACAUUUUAGAAAAACAAGCAGUGAGCCCUGAAAUUGCAAUUCCAUAAAGGCACUAAAUUACCUAGUACAGAAUCAAGAAUUUACUCGAUGUGAUUCUGCAGUGACCAUAUUAUAAAAAGAGACGGAAUGCCAGAGAUUGAGUCAGUAAAAUCUAAGAUGAGUGAGCCAUAUAGUCAAACAAAAUUAAAGUGAGAGUAAAUGGCGAUCUACAGGCACAAAGGUAUGCAGAGUGAAGCAAAAACAGCAACGUUUAAUUUCAAACGCUUUAGCCUUUUAAUAUUUCAAAAGCUUGUCAUCUUCGUUUUAUUCAGAUUUCUUAAGAGCAAAUGUGAAAUUGAUAAGGUGCUACCUUAUUCACCAAGAUCCUCUCAUUCUUUAAAUAUUAGGGUUCUUAGAUAUGUAAUAACUGUAUUACUUAGUAUCUCCUAAAUGGGGGGAGGGGGGCACAUUCAUAAAGCAUAUUCAUAAAGCAUUACCGUAGAUUGAAGGUCCUAUUAAUUUACUGGCAUGUUAAUGCUUUAUGAAUACAAUAAUCCCUUAUGACAAAUCUCAAUAGCUUUGCUAUUAUGAGCUUGAUUUGAAUCCUAAAUCACUACUUUUAAAAUAGUGUACUAGAUCUACCACAAAUGUUUGGACAACUUGACAUCUCAGAUAGCAGAUAUUUCAGUUGAGGCGUACAUCCUGAAUUCAAAUCCCAGAUUGGAUUUCACAAGGUUGUGUAUCAAGUCCUCAUAUUAAGUUAUGCUAACAUGAAUGAAUUGUAGGUGUGAAGUGGCACAGGUGUAGUUUGUUAACUAUUUUCUAAAUACUGCUACAGUUUUUUUAUUUUUUUUAUUUAUAUUUUCACCUAUAAGAACGCUGUUCCCUUAUUAGCCCCCUGUUGUAAUCAUAAUAAAGGAAUGCCAUACUACUCUAAGUUAAUAAAGAAGCAUGAGAAUAUCUUUUUGGCUCAGUAAUUUAAUGGUUACAUCUGGGAAAUGCAGACAAACGGUACAAGGACACAGCAGCUAUAACUAGGGACAUUUUCCCGUUGUUGUGCUUAAGGCUCAGAUAACACUUGUUGUUUCAUUGAGUAGUAGAAAGUAUAUCAUUUUUAGGCAAGCUUUAACUAUGUGAUCAGUGAUUGCUUCUCGCAUCAGAGAUCAAAGUAGCGAACUGGAAGAGAUUCCAAGUGUACAAGUUAAUUGAGUGCAGCUGUCCUAUUUUUAGUUCACAAUACCAUGGCGAAACAACAAAUUUAAAGAAAAAACAAAACAAAACAAAAAAAAGAUAAAACCCACAAUCCCACGGGUGGAUUUUGUAAUGAUUUUUGGCAAACUUAGACUCCACUGGUUAACAUCAUGCUAUGAAAUGAAUAUUUCAGCCUCUUUUUGUUUUAUUAUGCUGUAUGAAGCGUUAUAAUGACUGCCGAACUGUCACAGAUAAUGUCAGUUUACUUCAUUUCAUACCAUUUUGUUUACAUAUUCCAUGAGGCUGCAUCUGUUUUGACUUUGAUUCAGCACAUUUUUCUUACAAAUAAAUACAGUUUCUGGUUGCGUA